GGAUGGCAGUACUCACUGGGAACCAUAGAGUUGGUUCUCACCCUACAUUACUUUGAGGUGUUACAGGUUCGCACGUGAGCUGCGCGGCGGCGCGAGAAAAAGGCGUAGCUCCGUAGAUAGCGCCCUACCACAGAGACCAGAGAUAGCAGUACCCCGAGUCGACAUAUCCUAGGGGUAUAAAGAUCAAAAGAUUAAUAUAUCGAAUUUGUAAUGAAUAAAUGAUGUAAUGAUUCAGAUUGCAUUUAGAUGAAAAAGAAUUGUAAUUAAGUUGUAAAAAUGUAUGAAUGUGAAUGCAUGUAAUAACUUAGGUUGUGUUAUAUUGUUGAUACCUUCCUUAUGCAAUCUCUACUUGAAUACUGUCCCUGUUUGGGACCUCUUGUAUUGUAAUUGAUUGUGAUGUGUAGAACGUACAGGAGAAACUCUGUCCGUUCGGCGGUCUGUCGGCGUGCCCGAAUCCGACCAAAUAGGCGGGGUUCGGGGCGUGACAAAGUGUCUCAAAAUUAGAUUUUAUAUUUUUUCGACCUUGUAGACUUGAUGAUCAAAAAAGUUGCAAAAUUUGUAAUUUUGAUAUCGGCUACUGCACUUUUGUUUAGACUACUCGAAGUGUCUCGAAAUUAGAUUUUAUAUUUUUUCGACCUCGUAGACUUGAUGAUCAAAAAAGUUGCAAAAUUUGUAAUUUUGAUAUCGGCUGCUGCGGUUUUGUUUAGACUACUCGAAGUGUCUUGAAAUUAGAUUUUAUAUUUUUUCGACCUCAUAGACUUGAUGAUCAAAAAAGUUGCAAAUUUUGUAAUUUUGAUAGCCGAUAUGGGGCAUUUACUAGCUUAAUGAUGCAAAAAAUUUAAAAUUAGUUAAAUCUUUGUUUAAAAAUUUUUAAAAUUAUUUAAGAUAAGAUCUACACAUUUGAUCUUCAAUAUAAAAAUGCUAUCAUUAUUUUUUAAGGAUAUUUAUUUUCAAUUAUCUAUGUUGGUGUUUACUUAAUACACAAAGGAAGCUUAUUUUUUGUUUGAAGCUAUUCUCUUCAACAGCUAUAGUCGGAACAGCAUCCGAUCAAAUUUUAAUUUACCUGUAUUUAUAACUAUAAUGUAGUUAAAACUAUAUGUGGAUAAAUAGCCCUUUCACUCUCUUUAGUUGGUAUGAUUUUAUUUACACCGCAAGUCGAAAUACAACAAUUACAGCUAUAAGGAAUCGAACAGCCCUUCUACUCUCUUUUUUUUUUUCGAGAAAUAGGUAGCAUGCUACCUGCUUCGUUUGUUUCAUUUAGAAAUAAACUUAGCUAGAAAUGUGAAUCAACUAGGAUUCGAACUUAGGUCUUGGGUACCAACCACUAAGCCCUUUGCCACUUGCUCUAGGGACGGUCGGUCCCUUCUACUCUCUUUAGUUGGUAUGAUUCUAUGGCGCUAAUAUUAAUCCCAAAAGCUCGAGCUGUCCGAAGUACGCGGCCAAUUCACUUAAAGUGUACAGAUACCGCGCUCACGGAUCUUGAUUGUGACUCGACCCAAUCAGUCCCACGCUACUUCGAACGUGACUCGGCCCAGCCCAACCUUACAUCAUUUCAAAUAUGAUUGGACCCAAUGUAACCUUCCAUCACAUGAUAGAAUGUUAGUCUAUUUAAGCCAACAAUUAGAACUAUAAAUAAGAGUAAUGCUACUAUACUCUUAUGAGUAUAGACUCCUUUGUAUUCAUAAAUUUUCGAUCGUUGGAUAAAGAAUGUCCGGUUAGAAUGAGAGUGGUCUCCGGUUAUGAUAAUAGUGAUUUCUUAGGAUUGAGUGAAUGAUUGGUUGAAUAGUAUGAUCUAAUGUAUAAAAAUGAUUAAAAAAAUAAAUUUAAUGGCUAAAAAUUUAUGAAUAUACAAGAUUUAUACUUAUAAGAGUAUAGUAAAAAUGCGGCAAUUACGGCCUACAAAGAAUCAAAUUGAGUUCCUGACUUUCUAAUUUUGAGAGUGGCAUCUUGGUAAUAAAAGGCAACAACAAGGGUGAAGAAUUUUACAGAAAAAGAUAGUACAUUUAUUUUUGGUGGAGCGAACACGCUAUAGGCGUGACAUCACAUCAUUGCAUUUUCAUUUUUUUUUCUCGGUUUUUUGUUUUUACUUUUUCUUUUUCUUUUUCUUUUUUUUUUCUUACAGAUGCACUCUACGAUUACAUAAUAAGUACCACAUAAAAACUACCCAAUAUUUUUGAACAUGAAUAAAUUGUACGAUUAGCCCCUGCACUUCUGGUUAGGUUUGUUUUGGUAUUGAAAAAUUUAAAUUUGACAUUUAAUUCUCUAGAGAAGUUUUACUUUGCUACUACUUCAUGAUAAAAAAAAUAGUUAAAAUAUAGAAAAUCUCUACGUAAAUAUUUAUUUUCUUAUUGUUCCUCUCCGACUCUCAAAAAUAUGUAUGUUAUUCCUUCAAACUUUAGCCUUUUUUUGUCAGGGUUUCGUCACUAUUUCGUUUAUUUCUUAUAAUAAUUUAUACCAAAGAUAUCCUUAAAAAUAAUAAAAAAACUAUUAAAAAUUAUUUUUUAUAGCACGAGAAUGAAAAUUUGGCCAUUUCGCCUCUCUCGAUUAAUUAAUCUAUAACUCUUUGAAAAUAUUUCUAAAAUUUUAAGGAGAUAAAAUAUUGAGUUUUGAAAGUCGUAGAGAAAAACUAAAAAACAGAUGUUUAUAGAUUUUUUUUUUUUGGUAUUUUAACCUAAAACAUUAUUGUUUGCAAUUCAUUCGACUUUAUGUUUACGCAUAACAAAUGCAUUAUCCCUUUUGUCAUUUCAAUUUUUUCUCUCAAGUAGUCUAAUUUUUUAAAAGGUCUCCGGCUUAAUGAAUGAUAAAACUAAAAAUAUUGCAUAAAAUUAAUAAUUGAUAAAUAUGCGAUAUAUAUAAAUGUGCAGAUGCAUUCGUUAUUUAAGCUAAAAUUCAUCAUUAAAAAUAGAUAAGUAUAGUAACUAAAAAUAAAAUAAUUUAAAUAAUUUACACACAUGUUCAGUAGCUAAAGUGAAACGGAGACACAGAGUGCUCAGACUAGUGAUGUAAUUUAUUCAUUUUAAACCCAUAAAAAUGUAUUGAGCCCUCCUCAACUAAACAUUUUGUAACAUUACGCGCUAAAAGUAAUUUAAAUUAUAAAUUAAAUUUAACAAAAUUAUCAAUAAAUUUAAGAAAUUUUUUUUUUUUACUAAACUGACUAAAAUCUCCCAAUUCAAAAAUAAAAUUAAAGGCUAAAAAAGCACAAAUAAAACCAAAGGAGAAGUCGAGGGACCAUUUCAGAAAAUUCCUAUUGCUCAGGGGUUCCCCGUACAUUUCUAACUUUGAAAUUGGUAAAUAUUGUAGGCAUAAGCAGCACGCUUCUCAAAGCAGCGUGGGGGAGAAGCGUGGGACCCUUCAAACGGAAAAUGACGUAAUAAAUUGUUUUCAUUUAAAAACAACAAAAAUAAUAAAAAAUAAGCACCACUUGUGAAUUUUCUUUUUUUUUUUCUUGAUAAAUUACAUUUUACACUCAAAUAAUAGAGAUUUAAUCACCAAACCUGUAAUUUAAAAUGUAUCAUUUUAGUACUAUAUAGUUUCAUUUUUUUUCUUUUCGUUAUUCUCUUUGUUAAUAUUUUCGUUAAAUUAGUGAUAAAAUUAAUACUAUAGGAUAUUAAAGUAAAAAUUCGGUAAACCGCACGAUAUAUUAAAGUGAAUAUUUGAUAAAGUAUGGAUGGAGUAUCCGAAAUUUUUUAUGUAUGAUUUAGCGAAUGAAUGGGUUGACAGAAAAAGAAAAAUAAAAUUAUUGUGUACUAAAAUGAGAAAGUGCAAAAUUAUAGAAAUAAUAUAUGAAGUUUAUCCAAAAAAAAAUCAGAAGGCACUAAAGUGAAGCAAAAGUAGCAAAGAUUUAACGAACGAAAGUGCUGACAGAAAUAAAAUAAAAUAAAAUUAUAAGGUACUGAAAUAAGAAAGUGCAAAAUCAUAUGAAUGAUAUUUGAAGUUUAUCUCUUUUACACAUAAAAGAAUCAUAGGAUUAAUUGGUAACUAAUAAUAAAGUUUAGGGGAAGCGCUUCUUUAAUUUAGAAUCAGUAGCUAUCAAAUGGACGGCGAGGAUGAUCGAGUCGGUAACACGCUUUUGCUUUGCUUGUGGAAAUUGCUAAGGAAUCCAUUACUUUAUUAUCUCUUUGACUCACAUCAUUGAAUUAACGUACUUAGUUUGAAAACAAAUAAGGAAUGGGUCUUCAUAAAUUAGGGGGAUUUUGACACGUUACUGGCAAGAAAUUUGUUGGCAAUCCAGCUCGCGAGCUCAUGUUUCGCUUGAUAUAAGCUCGAGAUUGAUUGUCGGUUUAAUAAACGGGCGAUACAGUGAAUGUGUGAAACAACCAUUGUACUUUAGGGUGCGUUUGGUUCGCAUUAUGAAAGAUUACUAGGAAUAAAAGAUAUCCGAGAAUCUUAUUCCUAUUCAUCCUAUUACUAAGAAUGCGGAAUUCCUAUGUUUGGUUCGCGCGGUAAUAUUAAUUAGCCAUAUUAUUUAAUAUUACAAAAAAUAUACAAUUAAUUAAUUAAUUUAUUUAAUUAAUUUUAGAUAAUGUUACCAAAAGUUUCAACAUCUUUUUAGAAAAAAAAGAGAGAGAGUAUAAGUUAGAGAGAGAGAGCAUAAUUAAAAAAAUUUUAUCCCCACCCUUGUUGAACAAGGGUGGGGAUAAGGUGGAUUCCCACCCUUGAUCGAUAAGGAUGGGAAUUGCCCAAUCCUAUUAGGCAAUUCCCACCCUUAUCGAUCAAGGGUGGGAAUUUUUAUCACAAACCCCUUGUUCCCCCCCUAUUGGGGAAUAGGGGUGGGAACAAGGGGUUGGUUUGUACCGGAAUUCCCACGCAAACCAAGCGCGAUAGAAAAUUUCUAAGGAUCAUUAGGUUACCCUUAUUUUUUAAUACUGCCACAAACCGAUUUACGUAAUUCAUUAGAUCAACCAUUAUAACCUAAGUGAACCCUUAUUCUAAGUGGGGUUUCAUGAUUAGAGUAAGGGAACUCCCUCCCACCCAUAGGAGUAUAAUUACCUAACCCCAUUAGUAUUAUACAGAUUAGAGAAAGAAAGAAGGAUGGGCAGCCGAUUAACUAUAAUAAACAGAAAUGUGAGAUUGGAAUAUAGAGAGAGAUUUGAAUAAAAAGAGAAAUUUUAAAUUGAAAAAAAAAGAGAGAGAUUUGAUUCGAAAGAGAGAGAGAGAGAAAAAUUUUAAAGUUGAGAGAGUGAGGAAGAUUAAAACUGAUAUAAAAAGAAAGANNNNNNNNNNNNNNNNNNNNNNNNNCUUAAAUUUGAAAAUAUAAAACAUUAAAAUUUUUAACAUUUAAACUCUAAAAUAUUAAAAUUUUAAUAUUUUAGAGUUUAAAUAUUAAAUUUCAAAUUUGAAAUUAAAUUCUACUUUAAAAUUAAAUUUUUAUGUUUUAUAGUUUAAGAUUUAUUUUUUUAAGUUUUAUAGUUUAAAAUUUUAAAUUUUAAUUUGUUGAAUUUAAAAUUUAAAACAUUAAAAUUUUUAAUAUUUAAAAUUAAAAAUUUGAAUGCUUUAAAUUUAAAAUAUUAUUUAAUUUUUAAGAGAGUGAGUGAGUGUGAGAGUGUGUUUGUGUGUGUGUGUGUGUGUGAGAGAGAGAGAUAGAGAGAAGUGCCCACCUUGUUCGACCCAAUAGGAUCGAAUAAGGUGGAACCCCACCCUUGUGAUCUCCACCCUUGCGAUCACAAGGGUGGGGAAUUGCCCGAUAAGAUCUUAUCGGGCAAUUCCUCCCUUAAUCACAAGGGUGGUAAAAAACAAACACAAACCCCCUAUUCCCACCUUAUUUGGGAAAUAAGGUGGGAAUAGGGGGUUGGUUUGUAUCGGAAUCAUUGAUAAACAAAUCGUUUACUUGGAUAUUUAUCAAUCGAAUUGUAGAAAACUUCGUUUCGGUAAUCUUGUAGCAUUUAGAAUUACGUUCAUUGGUUCCUUAAGAAUGAACCAAAACUUAGUGAACACUCCGACAAGAUAUGGCCAGUGCAUACUCGGAAGGGCCAAGAGGACGUUUUUAUUACCCGUUUUGAUUCUGGCGCGUUCGUAUUAAUAUACUAUAGUGUCUAUAGCGUUCGUUUUAAUUUCGAAGCAAAUGAGAAGUUAUUAUAACUUAAGUGAUCCGAUUCAAUUGUCAGAAUAUGUUAAGUACAGUUUCUACGUAGAGUUUAAUCAAGUUAGAGAUUUAGAAUGCCUUUUAGUUGAUCAGUAAUAAUCAUGAACGUACGAACAAUAUCAAAUUACUUGUUUAAAAGUUUCGACCCUAUAGAAAUUUUUCAAUACGGUAACUUCCGUAAGAUGUUAUCUUCUUGAGGCUAUUAGAUAACUACCUUCUUUUUAAUUAUUGUUACUACGGCGGUAAUUAGACGUAAAUCUUUAUAUAUUUUCUUCGUAGAAUUGGACGAAAGAGUCUAAGUUCGAGGGGCCGUCUGUAUUAAUGACCAAGUUAAGGGUAGUGAGCUUUUUAUUCGAGUCAAACUUUACAAAAGGGAACAGGAAAAGGAGGGGUAUAUGGAUGUAGUGUAAUCAUAAGAAUUUAAACGGUUUAUCUCUUAGGUUUAUCAUGAUAUUAUGUGUCCUUGAAACAUUCGAGUUCUUUUUGUACUGAAUCCAAACUUUUCAGAACUCUUGAUAGCAGUAUAAUCUCUAGAAUACUGGUAGUUCACUUGUUGUUUUCAUUAGUUUUUGCUCAAGAAUUAACGUCUACUCAAUAUUCCCAAGGAGUCAUCUUUCUAUUAACUAAGGUAGAGUUUCAACAGUCUACUCUCAGUUCUACUACUUUUGUGUAUAAGAGAAUGGAUUAUAAUCUCCUUGGAAUUACAACUCUUCUACUCGUUAUAUCAAGAAGUGUUACACCGUACGACGUUUUCUUAUUUUACAAUAAUGUUAUUACUACCGUAUAAUUAUUGUCUUGUCCCGUGAAUUGUUUGCCGUGUGAUCUCCUUAAAUCCAAAUGUCCGAAAAUAAUUUGAAUUAACUAUUGAACUCUCUUAAACUGUUCGGAUCUUAUGUACGAUGGAGUCUAGAUACACAAAUCUCUUGUAAAGUAAUCGAGGGUCUCUUUUAGGAGAUUUGAGUCAUAGUUGGCCUAGUGUGACAAUAGAAAGGAAGGUAUUAUGUUUAGUUUGCUAUCGGAUACCUAGUCCUCCCAGUUAAUCUUUCCUCAGAUUUUAUUCAACCCUAGUUUAGUUGAACAGGUGAACGUAAUCUUGGUUAACCCGCUUUUUUUCCCUGUAUGGAAAUUUCUUCCCUGGAUGUAGUCUAUUUAACAGUUUACGUACAUAGUUUAGAAUGAAAGUGCUAACUUUGUAUUUUUCCGGAAUAGUGAUUAAGAACAAUAAGUGAUAUUAGUACUGGAAGUUAAUGGUUUUUAAUGUUACGUAUAAACUUCAAGUUCUACGGUGUUCUCACCUCAGUAGAUUUAAAAGUACUGGUCUGUAGUGUAACUCUCUAAACCAAGGUCUAAUGUCACUACUUUUUUUAAACAGUUUCAAGUAGGUAAAUUUAAUGUAACCGAACAACUAUGGAGUUUCAUACAUGAGCCGUAACAAACAUGAGCCGUAACAAAUUCGGUUUUUUAAGCUUCUUUGUCUUUUAUUUUAAAAGAGCUAUGAUCCCCAAUCAGUUCUACCUCUUUAGUUGUUUAAAACUAUCAGCAUAGGAAAGACCUGUUAGUUUAUUCAUUUUCUCAGUGUACUUAGUCAAGGUAUAUUAAGCUUCCUACAUGCGAUUUGUUAUUUCGUUUUUUUUUUAGUAAAGUUGUGGAUUGAGAUAUUAGAAGUUUAUACUUUUUGUAGUGUUGUACAUCUUCUAGUUUUCCGUUUUUUUUUUGUCUCUUUUCAAGAAAGUCGAAGUAUUAUGGAGUGAUUUAAGUUCCGAACGUUUUAGGUUCGGUUCAAAUUUCACGAAUGGUUAAAAUAGGACAUCUUUUAUUCUUUACAUAAAACAGUUUAGAUAAUUAGUUACAACCCUCCGUUGUUUUUAAUAGUUCUCUCUUUUUAUCAGAUAACUUAUUUUAUUACGUCACUUUUCUCCAUUUUGUUUCGUUUAUAUUAUUUAUUUUAAAAGAGGUUAAUCACUUUAUGUAUAAGAGGAAAACUCCUUUAAUGUUGGAUUUGAUGUGUGAAAACAUCUAUUGGCGGGUAUCAAAGUUGAAAGUUUUCAAUUAUAAUUUAUAAUUUCAUAAAUUUAUGGCAAGAGAUAGUCGAAUUUGAAAAUCUCUUGUUGCCAACAAAGCAUAAUAAAUUGUACCAUAGUCUCGUCCUCCAGGACUCAAGCUUAAUGCGGUCCGAGGUUUGUAAUAAUUAAGGAGGAUAAAUUAAACAGGCAUAGUACCGGAUGUUUUUCAGAGCUCGGGUUUGUACUCCCUUUCACAAUAUAUAUUUUUAUAAAUUUAUGGCAGGAGAUAGUUAAAUUCGAAAAUUUCAUGUCGCCAACAAAACAUAAUAAAUUGUUAAUUUUGUUCGGUGAGCAAAGAUAGUUAGUGGGUCGGGUGUUAAAACACUCAAAAAAAUAUUAUUGAUAAUCGUGAACUGACAGUGUAGUAGGAAUGCUCGAGUAUAAAAUGGGUAUAGAAGCUUUGGUCACCUCCCCGUAAACUCCAAAAAACCGAAAGUAUACUACUUACCGACGUUCUUUUUGACUACCUUUAUUCGUAUCUACCGACGAACUUUACCUGUGUAACAAUCCCACAUUGAAAUAAAAAAAAAUUACUAAAAAGCUUCGAACCCGCCAGGUCGGGAUUCACGACUGUUAAAAAUAUUUGUUGGGUGGUAGUCGUCCUUAGUUGAAUUAUUUUAUCUCCCGACUUUUACAGGAGAGGUUUUAGGGUCGUCCCGAUCUCCAAUUAAGUGCGUACUAUGCUAAAGUUAUUAUCCACGAUUUAAUAAUUACUGUGUUGUUCGCUCUAAUUCUUCGAUUAUAAUACGUUGCUACGUUUUCUCUUGUAUAACAAAACCAACGAGUAACGUUGAUCUCUUGUAAAUAUCGUUAACGUUAUUUAAUCCAACUGUGAUAGGAUGUUUUCUUAAAGAAUACUUACGUGUUCUGUAGCAUCAACUUUGAACUCCAACUAACCAAUUCUUGGUCGUUACUUCUUUUCUUGUACAUGUUAAUCAUUCGAUAUAUCCGUUUUUCGUUUUUAAAUACGUCGUGUCAUAAGAACUAUUUACAGUAAAAUGUACAGUAGUAGGUUCGACAGAGGUUGUUUUACUUCGUCGAUUUCGUGUAGAGUUUCUACUUUUCCGGGACUUUCUUAAACACAUUUUGGCGAUUUUUUUUCUUUUAGGUGUUGUUCUUGAAUAGUACUUUCGUACUCUGGUUAACCGUUCAUCCCGAUGUACUCCAGAACAAUAUAAGAUCAGGGUAUUGAUUACGAGUUGUUUAAGAGGGUUUUUUAGAGGAACCUUUAUAAGAUCGACAAGCUGUUUCUUAUGUUGAAAACAACUACUUUCGUACUCCGUACGUCCCUAACGAUAUUUUAAGUUUCAUUUUACCUCCUAAACCGUUUUUUUUAUCACAUCUUUCACUCUUGUAGUAAUAUCAAUUCACACUAUAUCACAUCAAUUAAUGUUUGUUUGUCCAUGCCCACUAAUAAUUCUUCAUUUGAAUGUCUAAAAAGUGUAUACAAGUGUAUAAAUGCGACGUUAUUAUAGAAUAAACGUAAAUAUGAGAAGUUUUUGACCAUUGAAGUAAUGUACGGAGUAUGGUUCAUAUUUUAUACAUAAGAUAGAUUUUGUCGAUUUUAAAGAGUAUACGGUCUAAAGCCCGGAAAGAGACGGAUGUAGAAUCUUUUCUUAGUCCAUUUGAUCGAACGGGUUUAUUUUCAUUUUCAGUAAGUUUGGAUACAAAAAUCUCAUCACGAAGAUAUGAGCAAUAAAAAGCUAUGGCAAGUAAGUAAAGAUAAGAUGCCGAGUCUAAAUUAAAAAAAAUUCAACAUUGAAUGUUAUUGUACAGUGAAAUUCUUUCCAUGGUUAAUAGUUCAUGGGAUUUCUCCCUAUAAGACCAGAAAAUUAUGAACCCAUUAAUAGUGCAUAAUUUAUUAAAAUGGAGUUGAUAUAAUAGUUUUGGGAAAAAGAGAGACAAAAGAAAAAGAGAGAGAUAGAAAGGAGAGGUAAGUGUCUACAAAGCAACAAAGUUUUAAAAGAAUUUGUAUAAUUUAUACGAUUUAAAUUUAUAAAUGGUUGUAAUUUUUUAAAAAUUUAUCGCUAUGUUUUUAUUACAGAUUUAAUCUUUUAAUGAUUUUACAAAAUUUGUAUAAUUUAUACAAUUUAAAUUUAUAAAUGGUUGAAAGUUUAAAAAAAUUUAAUUGUUAUGUUUUAAUUACAGAUUUGAUCUCCUUAAAUUUUUAAAGAAUUUGUCUAAUUUAUACAACUUAAAUUUGUAAAUGGCUGUAAUUUUAAAAAAAUUCUUUCAUUAUGUUUUAAGGAGAUUGAAUUUAAAUUUAAAAUUUAUAAAUUAUAAAUUAUAAAGUUAAGUUGUAUAAAUCUUUAUUAUGAUAAAGAUUUUAAGGAUUUUAAAUUUAAUUACGGAUUUAAUAUCCUUAAGAUUUUAAGGAUUUUAAUUACGGAUUUAAUCACGUUUUAAUUACGGAUUUAUACUUUAUAGUUAGUGAAAGAAUUUAAUUAUGAAUUUAAUCACGUUUUAAUUACGGAUUUAAAUACUAUAGUUAGUUUUGAAAGAAUUUAAAACACUAUAAAUUAAUUUUUUUAUGGGAGAUGUACUUCAUUGGAAAAUUGGACGAUAUACAAUUUUAUUGUGUAAUGGGAAAUAACUAGUUGCCAAUUCUAGAAAAAAUAAAAAAUAUUUUAUUUCAUGGUUUAGUAAAGAGUACAAAAAUUAUAUAUUCAUAAAUUUUAGUAUUUUUGAUCUUCGUAUUUGGUACUGCACGGAAUCGAACAUGUAAAAACACAGUUAAGGGAAAAGGAACACUAAAACAAAAGAACGAAUACUUACUUCGUCCGACUCAACGAAGUUGAACUUGGGAAAGUAUUUCUCGCCUUUUUCUUUUUGUUAUGGUUAGUUCAUGUAUCAAACAAUCCCUUCAAGUUCGACUCAAGUUCAGGUGUAUUAGGGCUGCUACACUGUUUUGGGUAAUUGAGUUUUCGAAUUGGGACAGCUUAAACCGGGUUAUAAGACAUAAUUAAGAAAUGAUGACACGAGGAGAUGAACAAUAAGGUAUACAUCGAUAAAAGUUUACACUUAAACAUUGUCUAGUUUUGGUACCGUGAGGUAUAUUCCGGUCGUAGUAUUUGUUCUUCUUGAGUUUUAAUUGUUGGAAUAAAAGCUUCAUUUACUAGGUUUUCUUGUUCUUGAGUGUUCUUUUUGCCCCCGAUACAUCAUUAGCGGGAGCUCUAUGAGCUUGCUGGCGCAGCGGAAGACGGCCAUUAGUUUGUGCUAUAGGCGACGUGUGUAUUUGUUGGUUUGUUCUUCGUUUGUUGAUGUACUCUUUCGGGGUUAAGGUAGAAUCUACUUUGCAUAAUCGGGAUUUUAGGGAUUAUUUUAAUUUUGUUUCUCUUAGAAUGUUAGGAAGGGUUCCUUGACAGGGUGUUUCUCUAGUAGUUAGUGCGGAACGGCUCGGGGAUGACGCUACAAGUACAAUAGGCUGAGGAAAGGCUCCGCUAUGUUCAUUAGCAAGGGGAGGCUCAGGAAGCUAAGGGUGCUCCUAACGAAGCUUUAGGAGCAGAGCCCUCGAAGAAGGCCUCUUCUUCUAGGUAGCCCCCGAGCUCUCCUCCUCCUCCUCCUCCUCUUCGUCUCCUCUCCCUUCCCAAAGCUAAACGACUGGAAACCUUUAAAUCCCAAAGCCCCUACCAAAACCGCGCUUCUCUUACUCCCCCUCCCCCUCUCCUUCUCCAGCCCCAACGUCACCUCUUGGCGGUAACCUACCUCCAACUCUACCCUACGUCUACUCUCUCAAAGAAAACACUGGCAACCCUACUAUAGAGGUUGCCGGCCUUCUUUGGUCCCAAAGGACUACCACUUUUACAUUCUUCGGAGGAGUUGAAACCGCGCAAAACGUUGCACGGGGAUUUGUAAAACGUGACAAGAAUUAGAGAAUGAAUAAUCACAAACUAAGAGUUCAUUUGGCUUUUAUCAAUUUUAAUAGAGGCGAUAAGAUGAUUUACUGGGGAUUUACAAAGCCCGUAGGCUUUGGAGGAUAAGUACGAUAAAGCCUACCAGGGAUAACGUGGGGUAGAAAGCUUUAGGAAGUGCCAGUAUAGGUUUAAUGAAAGAUCAGCGGGUCAAGGACGUAGGCUUUAGAAAUUACUAAUUUAAAUUAUUUAGUAGUACGACUGAGUAGUUUAGGUGGCUGAAUUUAUGGUUGAUUUAAAACCUAACGAUGUCAUUAAGACUCGUAGAUCUUGGUUCCGGGUUUAGGAUAAGCCUAUGAGGAAGCCGUUAUAGCUCGCAAGAUUUCACUCAAAGCUUAAGUAGAGUGGAACCUUGUUACGAAGAUCCGUGGGAUUAGGUUAAAACUCGCAAGUUUUCACCCUUUUUUUAAACGCUCACUCGGCUCUUUCCCAUGCUGGUCUAGUUAGGGCCUAGGUCGUUUGCAGCUGCCGGUCACUGUUCUAGUUUGUUUCCGGCUAAAUUAUUCCAUUCACUCCAGUAUUUAAGCGGUACCAUCUUUGGUUGUGUACACAAGACGUUCAUCAUUAACGUUAUCAACCGUAGCUCAAGCCUACCGUUCAAAGUUCCUACUUACAUUAUUUCGUUAGUGGUUUUCCUACUUCUACCGUCCUCAUCCCACCCUUUCAUUUCGUAUGUUCUCUUAACAUGUUCUUAUUCGUCCUUUUUUCGUAAUUCGUUCUGAUAAUAUUUUUACUCCAUCUCCCGUUCUUUUCAUCCGAGGUGGUAUCUUUUACUCUCCCUGGGUGCUAUUUCCUUUUCUCUCUAACACUGCUUGGUGAAUGAACCACCCUGCACCUAUCACAAAAUAUAGGUACCCUCAAGUUUCUCAAAAAUGUCUAUAGACUUUACGAGUAUCUGUGAUAAGAUGUUUAAUUAAGAUUAAAUCUUUAAUGAGAACGUUCUAUGGUUCGUCACUUACGUUCUUAUUCUUUUUUUUUUACGAGAUGGUUUAGUACAAGAUUAGUAUUAAUGUAACUUCUAAUAGUUCCUCGAAUUAAACACCUGAUUACACAUAGAGGCGUGUGGAAACGUCACACACACAAGAAAAAGAAGAAAUAAAGCAGAAGAAAGAGUUCAAAGCAAUAAAAAAAAGAGACAAUUAUGUUUCAUACUAAAAAACGAACCAAAUGAAAUAGCUCUUUUAGUACAAUUUUAUUACCGUAUUCGAAUCGUACACUAAUUCCUAGUUUAUCUUUUUAAUCAAUUCCAACUUCUAUAUUAUACUAGGGAAUACUGUUUUCAAUGUUUCAAUAAUUUAUACUUCGUGACGUAUCGACGUUUAGUCCUCCUUCACAACGAUCUGGUAACUAUGAGUACAUUCACUUUACAUCUCCGCUCAUGAGAUUUUCGAAUUCAAAAAUAUUUUGUCACAAAUAUAUAAAAAUAUAAAUUAUGAGAAGGGUUUUAAAAAUAUAAAUUAUGAGAAGGAUUUUAAAAAAAAACCUUCCGAGUAUUAUACUUAAACUUAAUUUACUCUCUUUUAAUUAUUAUGAUUCUCGAACCCACCGAGCUUGAGUUCUGGAGGAUAAGCCUACAAUACACUUUGUUAGUAAUACAAGAUUUUCGAACUCAUAAGAUAUCACAGUGGAUUUAAUAUAAAGAAAAAGAUAAUAUCAUUAUUUUUUAUUUUUAACUACCAACUUUAAUUCUUAUCCCAUCUUACCUAACCAAACGCUAUUUUUCUUAUUCCCAGCAAUAACUCAAUUUUCAUCCAAACACAAAAUUGAUCUAAUCCUCGCUUAUACCUCAAUUUAUACCUAUCCCUGGAAUACCCACUUUUUGCUUAUUCCCGAACCAAACGAUACCUAAGUUUAAGAGUAAAACGAAUUCAGGACCUUCUAUUCUGAUACUAUGUGAAACAAUCAUUAUACUCUAAAAGCUUAAGCUGUUAGAUAACGGUAUUUAAACAUUUUUAUAUUUAACAGAAUGCGAGUGAAGUCAGCUCGCUCGUGUUCGAUCCGAUAUGGCUCGAAUAUAUAUAUUCUAAUUUGUGCUAUUUGGAUUUUAGGCCAUGUAAAAGGACUGAUAUUUUGUAAAUUUCAAUUAAUUAUUAGAUUACGAUUUUAAUUUUUUAAAUAUUUAAAAAAAAAAAUUUACCCAGUAAUAAAACUGGUAAUCUAAUUUAUUGUUCCGGAGUCGGCUCGUAUUCAGCUCGUUAGUAAACAAGUCGAAUAUGAGCUAAAUUUUUUUGCUCGAUAUUUUAACUAGUCAGCUACAUGUGUCGGUCUCAGCUCGCUCAUAUUCGGAUAGUCGACAGCAAUAGUAUGGUUUGCUUACGCUGUAUCCUUUAGAACACAUUUAUGCCUUGGACAUGUUGAUAUCGAUAGGUUAACUUAAUAGCCAAAAAUAAAAAAUAAAAAAAAAAUCAUAUAACAUUAAUUUCUUUCUUAUCCUAUCAACUGGAAAACAGCAUAUGAUGCUACCAUGGUUUUUGGUCGAGGCAUGAGCCAUAUCAAUUACAAAAAUUUGUUUAAGACUAUUUGUACAAAUUUUUUUUAUUAGGUUGAUAUUU
rnacentral:lncRNA from 1 species